AAGUCGGACGGACACCUUCGGGUGUCAGUGGCGGACGGGUGAGUAACGCGUAGGAAUCUACCCCUAGGAGGGGGAUAACAGCUGGAAACGGCUGCUAAUACCCCAUACAGGCGCGAGCUGAAAGGAGCAAUCCGCCUAGGGAUGAGCCUGCGUCGGAUUAGCUAGUUGGUGGGGUAAUGGCCUACCAAGGCGACGAUCCGUAGCGGGUCUGAGAGGAUGGCCCGCCACACUGGGACUGAGACACGGCCCAGACUCCUACGGGAGGCAGCAGUGGGGAAUUUUCCGCAAUGGGCGAAAGCCUGACCCAGCGACACCGCGUGAGGGAGGAAGGCCUUCGGGUUGUAAACCUCUUUUCUGGGGGACGAA
rnacentral:rRNA from 1 species